rnacentral:tRNA from 1 species
AGUUCCAUAGUGUAGCGGUUAGCAUGUCUGCUUUACACGCAGAAGGUCCUGGGUUCGCGCCCCAGUGUAGCUA